CCUACGGGAGGCAGCAGUGAGGAAUAUUGGUCAAUGGGCGAGAGCCUGAACCAGCCAAGUCGCGUGAGGGAGUACUGCCCUAUGGGUUGUAAACCUCUUUUGUCGGGGAGCAAAAGCCGGACGUGUCCGGCUGUGAGAGUACCCGAAGAAAAAGCAUCGGCUAACUCCGUGCCAGCAGCCGCGGUAAUCCGGAGGAUGCGAGCGUUAUCCGGAUUUAUUGGGUUUAAAGGGUGCGCAGGCGGAUUUUUAAGUCAGCGGUAAAAUCGUGGGGCUCAACCCCAUCAAGCCGUGGAAACUGGGGAUCUAGAGUGUGCGAGAGGUAUGCGGAAUGCGUGGUGUAGCGGUGAAAUGCAUAGAUAUCACGCAGAACCCCGAUUGCGAAGGCAGCAUACCGGUGCACAACUGACGCUCAGGCACGAAAGCGUGGGUAUCGAACAGGAUUAGAUACCCUUGUAGUC
rnacentral:rRNA from 1 species